rnacentral:rRNA from 1 species
UACGGAGGGGACUAGCGUUGUUCGGAAUUACUGGGCGUAAAGCGCACGUAGGCGGAUUUGUAAGUUAGGGGGGAAAUCCCGGGGCUCAACCUCGGAACUGCCUUUGAUACUGCAAAUCUCGAGUCCGGAAGAGGUGAGUGGAAUUCCUGGUGUAGCGGUGAAAUGCGUAGAUAUCAGGAGGAACACCGGUGGCGAAGGCGGCUCUCUGGACGGUGACUGACGCUGAGACGCGAAAGCGUGGGGAGCAAACAGG